AUGCGCUGGUGUUCCUUUCAAAAAAAAAACACUAAUAUGGGAGUGAGUGCGGCGAUUUGCCGUGAUGAACACGGGCAAUACAUUGGUGCGUCUGUUACUGUAUAUGAAGGACUGAUUGAUCCAGAGUGCUUGGAAGCGCAUGCAUGCUGCGAGGUUUUCUCCUUGGCAGAAGAUCUUGACAUGACAAGGGUCAGAGUAGCAACAGACUGUUUGGCCACUGCUAACAAUCUGAAGAGUGCGUUCAUGGGCAUAUCAGCGACCAUUAUUGGUGAUAUCAAAAAGAGAAUGCUAAAGUUUGUUGAUGCAGAAGUGAUUCAUGAAUCAAGAGAAGCUAAUUUUGAAGCUCACGGUCUAGCUAGGGCAUCGGUCUCUCUGACCACUGGCCGUCAUCUUUGGUUGUCCACCGUACCAGACAUUUUAUUCGUACCGGAGGUUCUUAUAUAA
rnacentral:rRNA from 1 species